rfam:Danio rerio chromosome 4, GRCz11 reference primary assembly.
GUCUCUGUGGAGCAAUCGGUUAGCGCGUUUAGCUGGCAACUGAAAGGUUGGUGGUUCAAACCCACCCAGGGACG